GCAGUCGAACGAACUUCCGUUAUUGAUUAUGACGUACUUGUACUGAUUGAGAUUUUAACACGAAGUGAGUGGCGAACGGGUGAGUAACACGUGGGUAACCUGCCCAGAAGUAGGGGAUAACACCUGGAAACAGAUGCUAAUACCGUAUAACAGAGAAAACCGCAUGGUUUUCUUUUAAAAGAUGGCUCUGCUAUCACUUCUGGAUGGACCCGCGGCGUAUUAGCUAGUUGGUGAGGUAAAGGCUCACCAAGGCAGUGAUACGUAGCCGACCUGAGAGGGUAAUCGGCCACAUUGGGACUGAGACACGGCCCAGACUCCUACGGGAGGCAGCAGUAGGGAAUCUUCCACAAUGGACGCAAGUCUGAUGGAGCAACGCCGCGUGAGUGAAGAAGGGUUUCGGCUCGUAAAGCUCUGUUGUUAAAGAAGAACGUGGGUAAGAGUAACUGUUUACCCAGUGACGGUAUUUAACCAGAAAGCCACGGCUAACUACGUGCCAGCAGCCGCGGUAAUACGUAGGUGGCAAGCGUUAUCCGGAUUUAUUGGGCGUAAAGCGAGCGCAGGCGGUCUUUUAAGUCUAAUGUGAAAGCCUUCGGCUCAACCGAAGAAGUGCAUUGGAAACUGGGAGACUUGAGUGCAGAAGAGGACAGUGGAACUCCAUGUGUAGCGGUGAAAUGCGUAGAUAUAUGGAAGAACACCAGUGGCGAAGGCGGCUGUCUGGUCUGCAACUGACGCUGAGGCUCGAAAGCAUGGGUAGCGAACAGGAUUAGAUACCCUGGUAGUCCAUGCCGUAAACGAUGAUUACUAAGUGUUGGAGGGUUUCCGCCCUUCAGUGCUGCAGCUAACGCAUUAAGUAAUCCGCCUGGGGAGUACGACCGCAAGGUUGAAACUCAAAAGAAUUGACGGGGGCCCGCACAAGCGGUGGAGCAUGUGGUUUAAUUCGAAGCUACGCGAAGAACCUUACCAGGUCUUGACAUCUUCUGACAGUCUAAGAGAUUAGAGGUUCCCUUCGGGGACAGAAUGACAGGUGGUGCAUGGUUGUCGUCAGCUCGUGUCGUGAGAUGUUGGGUUAAGUCCCGCAACGAGCGCAACCCUUAUUACUAGUUGCCAGCAUUAAGUUGGGCACUCUAGUGAGACUGCCGGUGACAAACCGGAGGAAGGUGGGGACGACGUCAAAUCAUCAUGCCCCUUAUGACCUGGGCUACACACGUGCUACAAUGGAUGGUACAACGAGUCGCGAAACCGCGAGGUUAAGCUAAUCUCUUAAAACCAUUCUCAGUUCGGACUGUAGGCUGCAACUCGCCUACACGAAGUCGGAAUCGCUAGUAAUCGCGGAUCAGCAUGCCGCGGUGAAUACGUUCCCGGGCCUUGUACACACCGCCCGUCACACCAUGAGAGUUUGUAACACCCAAAGCCGGUGG
rnacentral:rRNA from 1 species